ensembl:lncRNA
AUUUUAUCUUUGCAUGGUUAUCAUUGGUGAAAUCAAUGACCAAAAGUUUUUCCAUUUUGCAGGAGUCAUACAGUAACAUCAACAUUAGCAAUAACUUUUAUUCCGAAGACAGAUAAGAGGAAGACAAAGAUGGGGUUUUACCCAAAACUUCACUUACUCAAGAGGCUGAAAUCAACAUGAAGUCAGACGUGCUGGACAUUCUUUAAACCACUUGUGUCCACUGGAAUUGUCUUCUCCACAGUGUUAGCUAAAGCUGUAACUUGCCUGGAAGCCAUCUCUUGUCAAGGCAUGAGUCUGUGUUUUAAACAUGAACUGGCAUGCCUCAGAGGUCAUCACACUUCCUUCAGCUGCCCUGUCUCAAGGCUAUCUUCCCCAAAGGCAUCCAGUCAUCGUGCAGAAACGGAGACCAAGAGCAGAGUUUGCUGCAGUCAUUAAUCACUUCUGUUGCUUUGGGGUAUGGCUGAAAUAUGUCAAAAAGAAACAUGGGAAGCAAGUACCAACCUCCCACCAGUUGCAGAAAAGUGAGAGCUGGACUUCAGCAUAGUUGAAU